CUAUCCCCCAUUUAAGCCAAUUAUUUCAAAUCCAUUAUUGGUAAAGAAUAUUCUGAAAUGAAGGAAAAGUUUUUCCACAUCAGCAUUUUGUAUUUAGUGAGAUAUAAUUCUCAUUAUUUUUCAAAUAU